rnacentral:rRNA from 1 species
UUUAUGGAGAGUUUGAUCCUGGCUCAGGAUGAACGCUGGCGGCGUGCCUAACACAUGCAAGUCGAGCGGCAGCGCGAGUAGUUUACUACUUGGCGGCGAGCGGCGGACGGCUGAGUAACGCGUGGGAAUCUGCCCCAAAGUGAGGGAUAACUGCCCGAAAGGGUGGCUAAUACCGCAUAUGAUCUUCGGAUUAAAGGAUUUAUCCGCUUUGGGAGAAGCCCGCGUCGGAUUAGGUAGUUGGUGAGGUAAUGGCUCACCAAGCCGACGAUCCGUAGCUGGUCUGAGAGGAUGACCAGCCAGACUGGAACUGAGACACGGUCCAGACUCCUACGGGAGGCAGCAGUGAGGAAUCUUCCACAAUGGGCGAAAGCCUGAUGGAGCAACGCCGCGUGCAGGAUGAAGGCCUUCGGGUUGUAAACUGCUUUUAUAAGUGAGGAAUAUGACGGUAACUUAUGAAUAAGGAUCGGCUAACUACGUGCCAGCAGCCGCGGUCAUACGU